rnacentral:rRNA from 1 species
UACGUAGGUGGCAAGCGUUGUCCGGAUUUAUUGGGCGUAAAGCGCGCGCAGGCGGUUCGAAAAGUCCAUGGUGAAAGCCCCCGGCUCAACUGGGGAGGGUCAUCGGUAACGGUCGUGCUAUGAGUGCAGGAGAGGGAAGUGGAACUCCGGGAGUAGCGGUGAAAUGCGUAGAGACCCGGAGGAACACCAGUGGCGAAGGCGGCUUCCUGGUCUGCGACUGACGCUGUGGCGCGAAAGCUAGGGGAGCAAACGGG